rnacentral:rRNA from 1 species
GACGAACGCUUGCGGCGUGCUUAACACAUGCAAGUCGAACGGAAAGGCCCUGCUUUUGUGGGGUGCUCGAGUGGCGAACGGGUGAGUAACACGUGAGUAACCUGCCCUUGACUUUGGGAUAACUUCAGGAAACUGGGGCUAAUACCGGAUAGGAGCUCCUGCUGCAUGGUGGGGGUUGGAAAGUUUCGGCGGUUGGGGAUGGACUCGCGGCUUAUCAGCUUGUUGGUGGGGUAGUGGCUUACCAAGGCUUUGACGGGUAGCCGGCCUGAGAGGGUGACCGGCCACAUUGGGACUGAGAUACGGCCCAGACUCCUACGGGAGGCAGCAGUGGGGAAUAUUGCACAAUGGGCGGAAGCCUGAUGCAGCAACGCCGCGUGCGGGAUGACGGCCUUCGGGUUGUAAACCGCUUUCGCCUGUGACGAAGCGUGAGUGACGGUAAUGGGUAAAGAAGCACCGGCUAACUACGUGCCAGCAGCCGCGGUGAUACGUAGGGUGCGAGCGUUGUCCGGAUUUAUUGGGCGUAAAGGGCUCGUAGGUGGUUGAUCGCGUCGGAAGUGUAAUCUUGGGGCUUAACCCUGAGCGUGCUUUCGAUACGGGUUGACUUGAGGAAGGUAGGGGAGAAUGGAAUUCCUGGUGGAGCGGUGGAAUGCGCAGAUAUCAGGAGGAACACCAGUGGCGAAGGCGGUUCUCUGGGCCUUUCCUGACGCUGAGGAGCGAAAGCGUGGGGAGCGAACAGGCUUAGAUACCCUGGUAGUCCAUGCUGUAAACGGUGGGUACUAGGUGUGGGGUCCAUUCCACGGGUUCCGUGCCGUAGCUAACGCUUUAAGUACCCCGCCUGGGGAGUACGGCCGCAAGGCUAAAACUCAAAGGAAUUGACGGGGCCCCGCACAAGCGGCGGAGCAUGCGGAUUAAUUCGAUGCAACGCGUAGAACCUUACCUGGGUUUGACAUGGAUCGGGAGUGCUCAGAGAUGGGUGUGCCUCUUUUGGGGUCGGUUCACAGGUGGUGCAUGCCUGUCGUCAGCUCGUGUCGUGAGAUGUUGGGUUAAGUCCCGCAACGAGCGCAACCCUUGUUCACUGUUGCCAGCACGUUAUGGUGGGGACUCAGUGGAGACCGCCGGGGUCAACUCGGAGGAAGGUGGGGAUGACGUCAAGUCCUCAUGCCCCUUAUGUCCAGGGCUUCACGCAUGCUACAAUGGCUGGUACAGAGAGUGGCGAGCCUGUGAGGGUGAGCGAAUCUCGGAAAGCCGGUCUCAGUUCGGAUUGGGGUCUGCAACUCGACCUCAUGAAGUCGGAGUCGCUAGUAAUCGCAGAUCAGCAACGCUGCGGUGAAUACGUUCCCGGG